rnacentral:lncRNA from 1 species
GGGCAAACCGGUGGUUACGAGGUGUCCUAGAGCCGGAUGGAAUACGGUAUGAUGCAAAACUGGUCACCCUGAUUGAAGCGUUCCAGGAUCGGUAACGUCACCUUCCCGUCAGCAGUUGAUGAGCCCUCCAGAUUCUCACUAGGACCAUUGGACUCUUCUGUCCUUUUUUUUUUUUUUGGCUCACCGCUUCCAGCUGUAUCCAGUC